rnacentral:snRNA from 1 species
AUCGCUUCUUGGCCUUUUGGCUAAGAUCAAGACUAGUAUCUAUUCUUAUCAGUUUAAAAUAGUCAAAUGAAAAAAAUAGUCAAAUACUAUAUCUAAAGUCUACCUUAU